rnacentral:rRNA from 1 species
CCUACGGGAGGCAGCAGUGGGGAAUAUUGGACAAUGGAGGCAACCCUGAUCCAGCCAUGCCGCGUGUGUGAAGAAGGCCUUCGGGUUGUAAAGCACUUUUGUUGGGGAAGAAAAGCCGUCGGUUAAUACCCGGUGGUGAUGACGGUACCCAAAGAAUAAGCACCGGCUAACUUCGUGCCAGCAGCCGCGGUAAU